GCCUUUGUAGCUUAGUGGUAGAUCACUUGUUUUUCAUUCAGAAAGCCAUGGGUUCAGUUCCCAGCAGCACCU